AAGUCGUAACAAGGUAACCGUAGGUGAACCUGCGGUUGGAUCAUUACCAAAUCCAAACCCGGUGCCCUGGGCGUGAGCGGCCUCGUGCUGCGUGCGUCCCAGGCGUGCCUUCCACCCCAUGUGCAAUGUUUCACUGGGGGCCGCCGCCGGUGCCGCCGGGUCGCAAGACUCUCGGUGCGUGUGCGUGUGUGCCCCCUUUCACAACCAUGUGUUCUCCAAUCACCUGACGUUGACACUCGUGGCCACGUGCCAUUAGAGCUUAACGAAAAACAACUUUUGACAACGGAUCUCUUGGCUCUC
rnacentral:misc_RNA from 1 species